UGCCCAUAUCCCUUGCACCGGUGACAUUGUAUGUUGCUUGUUCUACCCGUCGAUGCCACGGAUGAAGUACUCGCAGCAGGCUUUUGUGUCGUCUUCGCAACUGAAUUGGUGGGGGCAGCUCGAGUCUUGUCACUAGAUGAUGGAGUAGAAAUACGUGUAGAUGGAGUUGAAGCCAUGCAUUGCUGCCAUGAAAUAGCCU
rnacentral:lncRNA from 1 species